CUCAGUGGGUUAAGGAUCUGGCGUUUCAUUGAGCUGUGGUGUAGUCGCAGAUGCGGCUUGGAUCCUGAGUUGCUGUAGCUCUCAGCGUAGGAUGAGGAUGGAUGGCGUAGGAUGGCAGCUGAGGCUCUGAUGCAACCUCUAGCCUGGGAACCUCCAUAUGCACAGGUGUGGCCCCCAAAAGAAGAAAAAAGUAAAUGAGCUCAAUGUUCUCUUGGCAAUCUUUAGGGCAUGGGUUCGCCUCUAGAUAAUGUGCCUGCUGGCUUUCCCUCUAUGACCUGAGAGAAGGAAGAAAGGGACAGGAACUGGCACUUGUUGAAUACCUGCCAUGAAUCAGUCACAGUAUAGUAGGCAUUUAACCCAACACAUCACCCUUGUACAGCAUAAACCAGGUAUUAUAUGUCCCAUUUUACAGAUGAGGAAGUUGAGGUUCAGAGAGCUUAAAGUGAUACAGCUGGUAAGUGACAGAGCCAGGAUUUGAACACACACACAGGUCUGUGUGACUCUGAAACUGAUGCUCUUUCUUCUACACAAGGUCAGUGUGAAGAGGAGCACACUUGGCUUCCUUCCCAGCCCUUCCCCUCAAUAUCAUUCUCGAGUAAUACAGAGAAAGCCCUGGACCCACCACGUUUAGGUCCAGCUCUAAAACUGUUAUAGGGAUGAUGUUGCCUUCGGACCUUGAAUCUGUAUCUGCUUUCCUGGUCCCCGGCUUGCUUCAGCCCACAAACCCAGGCUGGAAGCAUCGAACCCUGUCCAGCCCUUCCCAAAUCUGAUCUGGAACUCUUUUUAUGUUUGAGCAGAAAGCACAGAACAGACGUGAGGCCUUGAAACAGGGACGGAACGAGAGACAGGCAAAUAUCACGUCUGCUCAAGAAGUUUGAAUCAUCGAGGACCUUUCCUAGAAUAAAAACAAGACUGGAGUCUCAAACACACCUGGGCAUUGACUCAGGUGUGGUCUUCUGCACCUUUCAGGCAAAGAGGAAUUCCUGACAACUCUUGUAAUGGCUUGGAGGGGCAUGGUUUGCAGAAAUUACCCAGCUUUGGCUAGAGUUGCUGUUGGUGUAGGCGUGCGAGGCACAGGGUGGUAUCUGCUGGAAAUACUGAUAAAGCUGUUCUGGCAGAAACCCCAUGGGGAUUCCAUAGACACUUUGUUCCAAAUAAUGGCACAAAGUUACUCCUACCCUCCCAAUUCAGGACAUCAGCUUCAUUCUCCACCAGCAGUAGGACAGGUUCAACUGAUGUCUGUGUUCUUAGGGUAAAUUUCAAAGCUUCAUAGAAAGCAGCCAGAUGCCUCGGCAAGCAGGAGAUGGGCGCAGCGGGGAGAAGAGAUCCAGGGAUAUUCAAGGUUGAAUCAGAGUCCUCUUGGCUUCGAUUUGCUUGGCAAAGCAGUGGGUCUGCUUGUGUCUUUUUCUCUCUAUCUCUCCCCGCGCAUGAGAUGAUCCAGCUCUGAACGUCAGACUGCUCCCUUUACAUCUCUGCUGGGGGUUUGGAGGGGAGGAGGGAAUGGGGAAAGGGCUCCCUAUUUAGAAAUUGCAUUGAGAUGGAAAGACAAUAUGACACAUCGGCUCAUGUCAAAGGAGCUCAUUCUUCCCGCCUACAGCAUUAGCAAUUUCCUACUGAGGUUUAAUUUUUUUUUUUUUAGAAAUUAUUAUUUUUCUUUAAUGUAUUUUAUUUGUAGCACAACUCAACAGGACAUUGCUGCUCAGAGCAGGGCGGGAAGCUGGCCAAGGGCAGUCAGGCCACUGCCUAAGAGACCUGGCGUAGGAGGCAGGGGAAAGGUACUUGGGCUUUUUCUCAGGCAAGGAGGCCAUAGGAGUGGGAGGCCCCUGGUUUUGCCUCAAACCUCCUCUCAUUCUGCCUCUUCUCCCACCUCCAACCCCUUCUCCUGCUUCAGAGCAGGCUGGCCUGGGGGCUCCAGACUCAGGAUGCUCCAGCCAUGACUGUGCAGCAGUGAUGAGGGGGGGGAGGUGCAAAGUGAGCCCCACCAUCUGAGACACCCCCUUUCCUUCAGAGCCAGAAAAAACGGCUCCCUGGCCCUUCCUUCCUUUCCCUGCUCAGCUUCCUUCUCCCCCCCCCCCCCCGCCCCCACUUAAAACCCUAGAGUGUAGUUGCUAGAAGGAGCCUCAAAGAGCCCGUUAUCCUAUUUCACUGUUUUGCAGAUAAGGAAACCAAGGCCCUGACCGGGGACUGGGGACACAACUGUCCCAGGGCGUAGUGCACCCGAACCCAGCCUCCUAGGCCAGGCUAGCUGUCUCGGCUCCUCUUUCUCUUCUCCACCCCCAGCCAAAACUCAGAAUGGUCGUCCUCUGAGAGACAGCACUGAUGGGCAAUAAUUUCACUUCUCUCCUCUCCUUCCCUCCCUGGGUCUGAGUAGGACCCUGAGAGUGUAAAUUUGGUCUCUUCAGAUGGGAAGAAGCAUAGAUGUGUUUGGGGAGUGGGCCUGUAGCGGAAAGGGUGCUCUAGAGAGGAAAAGGUCCCAUCUUUACCAGGAGAUUUUUUUUUUCCAGCUUUGUGGCUGGCGAUGUGACCAAAAGUAUCAGCAAUUAACUGCGGGGGAGAGGGCAAGAAGAUAACAACUACGGCAGAGCUUUUCUCUUAAUGAAAAAAAAUUUUUUCUUUUAUCUCUCUUUCUGAAUGAGUGUCGCUUUAUAUGCAUGCCAGUUCUGUGUCUUUUUCUUCUUUGUAUCUCUCUCUGCAUCUCCUAUAUUGGUCUAUAUGUCUCUCUCAUCCUCUGCCUCUCCACGUGUCUGUCUCUGAUCUCUGUCUCUGUCUCUCUCUCUCUCUCUCACACACACACACAGAGUCACUUAUGCAGACCAAAUUCAAUAGUUAUUGAUUGGCCAGGGAGCCCCAGCCCCUUCCAGCAGCCCCAUCAGAGCAAAACCUUUUUCUCCCUGUUCAGUUGAGAAAUGCCAGGUCCGGAGCUGCUGCCGAGGCGCCAGAGACGCCGCAGAACCGCCUGCCGAGUGUGGAGGCUGAAUCCGGGAACAAUGAGAAAUUAUCUGUUAAUUCUCGAUUCCUGCCACCUGCUCUGCUCCGAACCGGCUCCUUUGCCUUCAGUUUAGAUGCAAAUUCCCUCACUCGUUGUAAAGCAAAAUAUUGAUUUCCCUGCAUCACGGCCCGGGCCCUUGGAACGGACCUUGUUUUUUUCAUUCUCUGCAAAGGCAAAACAAGGCGCUUUGUUCUGCAAAUUUCCCCAGGAACUCGAGAGGGGGAGGGAUAAGUCGCCGCCGAGUGGCAGAGUUGCCAUAAACAUGGGCAGAGAGCGAUUCUUCUCCAUUUGUUAUUUUACAUAAACACAAACCUACUCCCUAGGAAACUGCUAAUGAGCGCGUGACAAGGGGGCCUCUGAGCUCCAGUCUCUCCCAGGUACUGAGCUCUGCAUUGGGUGGUGGAGGGAAAAGUGACUUGGCCUCUAGGCUCCUCAGGUGGAUUCUAAAAGCACUGGGAGGCGAAUGGGGACUCCACAGCCUCACCUGUUCUUGGAACUGCAGUUUAGCACCUCCCACAGGAAGGCAGCCUGGAUUGCAUCGUGUGGCCACGACCAUGCCUACUCAGUCCCUCUUGCCUGCUUUCCUAGCUCCUCCAUAUCGCGAGCUCCUAAAGUCUGGGUGGAAGCUUUGAACCCGCCGCAAUGGCCCACCCCACCCUUCUUCCCUAACGCAGUGCCCACGAGACGGUUGCACCAACGGGGCCUUCAGCACCGCGGACAGAGCUGCGAAGCGCAGAGGGAGAGAAAAAACCUCCAAGUUAGGCCAGGGUCCUCUUAGGCCUCGGCUUGACUCUCCGUACUUGGGGGCACUAGCUGCCCGGCGCUGUCAAGGGCUGGCUAGCGCAGCUGGCACAGAUGGCGCACGGUGGAGACCGCCAAGAGCUGGCGCUCCGAAUCUCCUCCCUCCGGAACCUGAGUCACUGCCCAAGCCACUUCCAAUUAGCGUGUUAAUUAGGAGGAAAGACCCUCCUCCUCCACCCACCACCCGGGUACACACCAGCCCCGCGGCUUCCAGAGGCUCCGGAUAAAGUUUCCUUCCUAGCUGCGGAAGGCAAAGGGGCCUGAGCCUGGAGUGUCAGGUGAAUCCCACAGAGGAAGGGGCCCACCCUCCUACCAGCCCAGAAAGCAAGACUUUUAUGACAGGACCACCGCAGGGCUGCGACCUGGUGGCUGUCCACAGACCUCCAGGGCUGACUGAGGCAUGUAGGAGUUCCUCAGUCAACCUGCUCCUAGGCCACACACCACAAUUCCUGGAAGAGAGUUCUGCCCGGUCUAGCCUCAAUCUUUCGUUUCAGUUUUCGGUCUUUCUGGCCCUUGUUACACUUAUUAGCAAGAUUCAUCAUCUCCGAUUGUGUUGCACCUUUGCGGGGAGAUGGGUCUGGCGGGAACCGAGCGCCCUCUUGAAACGCCCCCCAUUCCUAUUCGGCAGAAACUUUCCCCUCCGGUUGCCAUGGAGAGAGACGGCCGCUGCCUCCCGUCGCCAUAGCAACGUGCGGGUACCGCGGACCGCAGGAUUGCGGGGCUCAGAAAGUCUUUUUGCAGUUCGCAUCGCCCCGCGGUCUUAGGGUCUUCUGCCUCCGAAGCCAGGAGCUGGAGCAAGUCUAACUUCUCCCAUCAGAAACCUUGGCCAAGGUCCUCCUGCCCCCAGCGGGGUCAUUCUUCUUUCCGUAGAAGGUUCAUCUAUUUCGUUACCACUUGUGUGGUAUGUGGCAAUCUACCCAGUGUUUUCACAAACAUCAUCUUUAUAUCCCCAGGCAGCCCGUGAAACACUCGUAAUUAUUAUACCCCUUUUACAGAGAGGAAACACUGAGGCUCAGAAAGGCUUAAGGUCACUCCAGGCAGUGGAUGCGGAACCAGAUCCCAGGCUCUUUCCUGGGUCCUGCACCCUCCAGGAUGCGGGACAACCUGGCUCCCAGCCUUGAACCGCCCGGACUCAGACCGGUCGCUGAGUGUAGAGGGGGCGGCCGUGAGGCGCCAGACUUGCCAGCUGCCGCGGGAUGCCACGUGAGGGGCGGAGACCCUGCGGGGAAGUGAUUAAAAGCUGAACCGAGCCGGAGGGGGCUGCUGCGGGGAGGGUCUUCUUGAGGCCGUCUUGCCCCGCCCCACUCCGGCCGCGGCGCGGGUUUGGGCGGCUGCUUGGAGGGCCUGGGUGUCCCGGGCAUGAGCGGCGUGUGGGGGACCGGGGAGCCUCGGUGCCAGGCGGCGCUCGCGGUCCUGGCCUCGCUGUGCCGGGCCCGGCCGCCCCCGCUCGGGCUGGACGUGGAGACUUGUCGGAGCUUCGAGCUAGAGCCCCCAGAGCGGAGUCCGAGCGCAGCCGACUCAGGCCCCUCUGUCAGCCUCCUGGCAGUGGUAGUUAUUGUGUGUGGCGUGGCCCUGGUGGCAGUUUUUCUCUUUCUCUUUUGGAAGCUGUGCUGGACGCCCUGGAGGAACAAGGAGGCCUCCAGCCCCUCCUCUGCUAACCCCUCCCCCGAGGCCCUCCCGAGCCCCAGCGCCAGGGGCAGCAUGGCAGACAAGCUGAAGGACCCCAGCAGCCUCGGCUUCCUAGAGGCAGCCGUCAAGAUCAGCCACACGUCCCCAGAUAUUCCGGCCGAGGUGCAGAUGUCCGUCAAGGAGCACAUCAUGCGUCACACGCGGCUGCAGCGACAGACCACAGAGCCAGCGUCAUCCACCAGGCACACGUCCUUCAAGCGCCACCUGCCGCGGCAGAUGCAUGUCUCCAGCGUGGACUACGGCAACGAGCUGCCCCCCGCGGCCGAGCAGCCCACCAGCAUUGGCCGCAUCAAGCCCGAGCUCUACAAGCAGAAGUCCGUGGAUGGGGACGAUGCCAAAUCCGAGGCCAAGAGCUGUGGGAAGAUCAACUUCAGCCUGCGCUACGACUACGAGAACGAGACCCUGAUCGUGCGCAUCCUGAAGGCCUUCGACCUCCCUGCCAAGGACUUUUGCGGCAGCUCCGACCCUUACGUCAAGAUCUACCUCCUGCCCGACCGCAAAUGCAAGCUGCAGACCCGGGUGCACCGCAAGACCCUGAACCCCACCUUCGAUGAGAACUUCCACUUCCCCGUGCCCUACGAGGAGCUGGCCGACCGCAAGCUGCACCUCAGCGUCUUCGACUUUGACCGCUUCUCCCGCCACGACAUGAUCGGGGAGGUCAUCCUGGACAACCUCUUUGAGGCCUCCGACCUGUCCCGGGAAACCUCCAUCUGGAAGGACAUCCAGUACGCCACCAGCGAAAGUGUGGAUCUGGGGGAGAUCAUGUUCUCCCUCUGCUACCUGCCCACAGCAGGCAGGCUCACCCUCACGGUGAUCAAGUGUCGGAACCUCAAGGCGAUGGACAUCACGGGCUACUCAGAUCCAUACGUCAAGGUGUCCCUGCUUUGUGACGGGCGGAGACUGAAGAAAAAGAAAACCACCAUCAAGAAGAACACCCUCAACCCCGUCUACAACGAGGCCAUAAUCUUUGACAUUCCGCCCGAGAAUAUGGAUCAAGUCAGCCUGCUCAUCUCGGUUAUGGAUUAUGAUCGAGUGGGCCACAAUGAGAUCAUAGGAGUCUGUCGUGUGGGGAUCAACGCCGAAGGCCUGGGCAGGGACCACUGGAACGAGAUGCUGGCGUACCCUCGGAAGCCCAUAGCACACUGGCACUCCUUGGUGGAGGUAAAGAAAUCCUUCAAAGAGGGAAACCCUCGGUUGUGAUUUCAUUCACGUGGAUGCUGCAAGCAGAGAGACUGCCACCCGGAGUUAGGAUGGCAGGGCCGAGCCGCCAGCUUCGACAGCGAGAGCUCGUGCCCGUCUCCAAAACCACCUCCGACACCAUGAGCUGCACAGCCGGCCGGGCUACACAAACGAAACUGAGCAGCGUUCUUUUUGCACUUGUUCAAUGUCUAAACACAGUGUGUGCAGCAGCGGCCGCAGGGGCAGCGCGCCUCUCACUCCAGAGUCUUAACUGCCCCUGUGUCGGUCAAGGCCGAGACGCUCGUCACGUGCUCAGAGCUGUCUUCGUCGUCUCUUGUCUCCCAAGGUGAUGUUUUUGUGGUUUUUUCACUUUGUAUGGAUCUGCUGCCAAGAAGGGAAAACACGUAGAGAAAAACAAAGAGGGGAGAGCCGUUGGUUCUAUUAAAUAUGUAAAAUAGUCUGGGGGGGAGGUGGUUUGAGUUUCUGAAAUUUUGUGUCUCCGCCGAGCUCUGUAACCUCAGAGGACAAGGAGGUAGGAUGGGCAGUGACUGUUUUUGCAGACGCUAGCUGGAAGGGGAAGGUGCAAACCAGGCGAAGAGCCCUUACAAGGACUACUUAGGACUCUCAGAAGCUCUUUGCUAAUGUGACGUGAACCGAGAUUCAGACUCCUGGUCCCGUGUUGAAAUCGCAAGCGCUCCGAGGUAUCCGUAGAACUUCAGCUGGCCUUGCAGGGCUCCUCGCUCCCCUUCCUCGUGGACUUUCCUCCUGAACUGACCGUGUCUUGAUUCCUCACGGGAACUGAGUCACUUUCUUUGGGAAUGAUUCUGCAGAAACUCAACAUGCCAUAUGUUUUCUGGCGUGCCACAGUUAAUGGCCACAUUUGUUUGAAAACAGAUCUUUGUCCUCAAAAAUAACCUUCAUUGUUUUAAAAAAAAAAAAAAAAAGGAAGCACAUAUGUUCUGGAAUGAUUUCUGCAUUAUACAUAGCUUUAUAAUUCCAUGCAGUAUCAAGCAGCUGUUUAAAAUGCCUAAACAGAUCCAAGAAAAACCUACCUAAUGUGUUCAUUUCUGAACGGGGAGUUGUGAAAUCCAAGUAAAAGGUAGAGUCUGUUUUUCUGUGAAGAGCAUCUUCUUGAUGGAAACCAAGUCAACUUGAGUCUAUUUCAGCCCCCUUGACUCCGGGACAAUGUUCAUCUUAACUUUAGUUCUAUAAAUUACUAAGUACUGCAGUGUGUGUUUGUUUCAGUGGUAGUAAAGGGUUGUUUUCCUUUAGAUCUCUACCGUAGGCCAUAUUCAGUAAAAAAGAAAUGUUUGAACUCUUCUGUAUUGUAAUCGUACAUUUCUGUUAAGAGCGGCCUUCCUACCAACCCCCUAGAACUAGGUUGAUUUGCUCCAUCUCAGUCUGUAUAGUCCUGGUACAUGUGUGGAGGUGGGUUUUUACGUCUGUUUGUGGCAGUGAAAUGCCAAUUUCCAGAGCUGUGUGUGUGACCUGCAAGAGGCAAGUCUGCUGAAGAAACAACCCUUCUUUCAGCAAUGGAAGGUCAAGAACGUGAACACUGUUCACAUACCCUGUGUCUUACUCUUUACAUGUCACCUGCUUUAGGAGCAACAACUCAAUAAAGUAACCCUUGUUCUAAGCCAA